AUUGUUACUUUUUGCUGAUGCUGCCUAGAUGAAUGAGAGAAGCUGGCCAUUGUGACUUCAUGGUGGUACUGCUAGCGUGAAGGAGAGAUACUGUACUGAUCAUUGUGAGACGGCUGGCCAUUGUGAGUUCAUACUUUAGAGAAAUUAAGUAUUUGCUCUUUUGUCUUUAGUUUAUGUUUUAGUGGAAACUCCACCAUGACCAUUUAGAAGAUGAUUCUCAAGCUAGUGCACCUCCUCAUCGAUUUUGUCUUGUCAAGAUCCAGAGCCCUUGGGAGCAAAGGGGACACAGACUUGCAGCAGAAAUCACUGUCACAGGAAUGAAGAUUUCAACCAGAUGUGGAUCCUGUUUGAAGCAUCUAAGCUUUCCUAUGCUCAUCUUUAUGUCCACACUUCAUCUGCACAAUGGGAAUAAUUAUAUGGAGCAGAUUCAGAUUCAGAGUAGUGCUGCUGUCACUGCUGAGGGGAGGCUUUGGGAAGGUCCAAAGCAGUACUCCGACUGGAAGGAGGGAAGAGCAGCAGAAACAUGCCAUCAAUGCAAAUCCCAAGUCUUCUGAAGAAAAACACAAUGUCAAUGAACAGAAUUUCAUCUGCAGACUAAUAGUGUCUGUCCCCUGUUUGCUGUUUUUCAACUUGAUUCUCCAGUGCAAUUUUACUCAACACAUUGCUUCUGAGCUUCUAGCAGUGAUGUAGCACAGUCAUCUUGAACUGCUGCCCAGCAAGUCCCCCCUCCCCAUGGACAAACUGCUGAAUACAGUGAAGCUUAAUAACCUCGAGGGGAAUUUUGCACAGGAAAAAUACCAUUUUGCAGAAACUGUACAAAUUUCAUGCAGAUUGGUGCUUCUUUUGGGAGGGGGAAAGACGCCAUGAAACAUCCAAAAAAAUUCACAGGAUUUUGGAAUAACAAAAAAUAAUGCCCAGAGAAAUCUUUCUGCCAAGAGUGAGAAGCUGGGAGUCUAAUUCUUAAUGCUGAUACAUGUUAACAUUUGCUCUUUAAAUCCCUUCACUGUGUGCAUAUUGUAAUACAAAUUAAAAUAUUGUUUUAAAGUGCUGCUUCUGUGCACUGGGACAUGUAAACAUUUUUUUCUUUCACCUGACAGUUCCCCUGCAAACUUUUUAUCACCUGUCAACCUCACCUAAAAAUUUACUAAAAAUAAGAUGCACUUUGAGAGGUAUGAAAAGGCUUGUGGAAACAUAUGGCAAUCAUAUGAAACUCCUCCCCCUCCCCCAGUUAACAAGAGCAGAAU
rnacentral:lncRNA from 1 species